UACGUAGGGGGCAGGCGUUGUCCGGAUUUAUUGGGCGUAAAGAGCGUGUAGGCGGUUUGGUAGGUCCGUUGUGAAAACUCGAGGCUCAACCUCGAGACGCCGAUGGAAACCAUCAGACUAGAGUCCGGAAGAGGAGAGUGGAAUUCCUGGUGUAGCGGUGAAAUGCGCAGAUAUCAGGAAGAACACCCGUGGCUAAGGCGGCUCUCUAGUACGGUACUGACGCUGAGACGCGAAAGCGUGGGGAGCGAACAGG
rnacentral:rRNA from 1 species